UGGUCACGUGGGGUCUGGAAUCAGACGGGUUGGGUUGGAGGUUUGCUUGACCUUUCUCACCAAGGAGCCCAAACAAGCCUUGUAGCUUUACCUGAGCGUUGGCCUUCUGGCCACUUGAUGAAGAAUCCCUGGCCUGUUGGGGCCGCAGAAAGAGCACGAAUGCCUUCAGUGCCAUUAACUGUUAGCCUGCCCCGUUGUGCUGAAAGCUAAAUAAGGGGAGUGUCUUCACCUGCAACACGUGUGUGGCCCUAAGGACUCUUUGGAGGGAUCAGCUGAUGUUACGU